AUGCACACACCAUGCAAGCACACACCACACAUGGACACCACACACACAUCACAUACCACACAUACACAUGCCCACACCACACACCACACACACGCCCACACCACACAUGCCCACACACCACACACACACACUCACACCACACAUGCACACACCACACACGGACACCACACACACAUCACAUACCACACAUACACAUGCCCACACCACACACCACACACAUGCCCACACCACACACAUGCCCACACACCACACACACACACUCACAGCACACAUGCACACACCACACACGGACACCACACACACAUGUCCAUACCACACAUGCGCAUACCACACACAUGCCUACACCACACACACCACACACACCCCCAUACCACACACAUGCCCACACACCACACACAUGCCCAUGCCACACACAUGCCCAUACCACAUGCACACACCACACACAUGCCUACACCACACAUGCACAUACCACACCCACACACACACCACACACAUGCCCACACACCACACACACAUCCCCAUACCACAUACACACCCACACCACACACCACACACACGCCUACACCACACACAUGCCCACACGACACACACACCACACUCAUGCCCACACCACACAUGCACAUAUCACACACACAUGCCCAUACCACACACCACACACAUGCCCAUACCACACACCGCACACAUGCCUACACCACACACACACAUACCCACACCACACGCACGCCCAUACCAUGCACACCACACAUACACAUACAGAUACCCACACCACACGUACACACACCACACACACAUGCACACACCACACACACAAUGCACAUGCCGGACACACAUAUGCAUGCACACACACAUGCCCAUACCACAAAUGCACACAGACACAUGACACAGGCAUACACCACACACACACCCAUGCACACACUUGGCACACUUCAAACACAUGCACACGUACUCAUGCCACAUGAAUGUAUGCACACAACCAGCACACACACACACACAUAUGCACACACCACACACACGCCCACACCACACACACCACACAUACACAUACACAUACCCACACCACACGUACACACACCACACACACAUGCACACACCACACAUGCAAUGCACAUGCCGGAAACACAUAUGCAUGCACACAUACUGCACACAUGCACACACACAUGCCCAUACCACAAAUGCACACAGACACAUGACACAUGCAUACACCACACACACACCCAUGCACACACUUGGCACACUUCAAACACAUGCACACGUACCCAUGUCACAUGA
rnacentral:lncRNA from 13 species